rnacentral:misc_RNA from 1 species
CAUGACGCCAUGCCGGGCGGCGCUGUGGGGACAGCAGCAGCACCUGGCAACUGCAGCAACCUACCGUGCUUCUGGCUCCGGCACGAAAGGCUGCGCUCCUGCAGAGCCCUGGCAAGUGAUGUUUAUUCAUUCGCCGAUCCUUCCUUGUCAUGUGCGUCGGCCAACAAUGCAGCACCGGCUUCAUUGUCACAGACUUCACCCUUCUCAUCUACGUGGCACACCUUCGUCUCACGUAGUGAAAGAGUUGACUCCGGUGAAGCGCGUUGCUCAUGGAAGAAAGUUGAGCGAUCGAAAGAAGCAGUUCCAGUCCAGGGAGUGAUGACCUUGAUCCGUCUAUACAGUUUUCAACCACAAGUAUUCGGAGGCGGCCUGCAGUGGCGUGGUCCAAGCACUUGCGGAAUGUAUUGCAUGCAGCAAGAUGAGGACGGUGGC